AUGAAUCAAUAUGGUUCAAGAGCAAAAGCAAAUACACCCAAUGGAGGGACUUGGUCUUUCAUGACAUUUACUCUUCCUCCUCAAUACCAUUUUUCUUCUGCUACAUGGUUAGCAGUUCAUCCCUACCACUCGAGUAUAUAUGUCAUCAGAAAGGUUAAUGGUAUGGUUAAUUGGCCUAUUAUGAUUUUCAGUCAGCAGUCAAUGAUGGGCAGCUGUGUGUUGUUACCUCCUCAGUCUGGGAUUGGCCAAGGAGGGUUUGUCAUUUCAUAUUUAACCAGCACUCAGAAGAGGCUAUUUAUGCAGCUGACAAGUAAAAUGGGUUCUUGGGUUUUUGUAAGUCAGUUAUCAUUCAUUGCACUCUUCAGCUGGAACGUGCAUGGCUUUCCUGCUAAAGAUUGGGGCCUGCAUGAUCCCACUGAUGGUGGGUUCUUUAACAUAGAGGCACAUCCUCCUCUCCAUUAUGAUUCCCUCCCAGGUGCCCCACCUGUUCCUACCGAUCCAAAUGACCCUGCUGUGUCAUUCAUGUAUGACCCAGUAAGGUUGGGAACUGCUGGAGUUCAAACCUCAGGGCAAAAAAAAACUUCAGGGCAACUCCAGCUCAGCUUGAAACGGGCCAACUUGGUCAUGAUGAAGGGAAUCUUGAUUAUAGUAACUCAGAAAGGGGAACCCAUGGGCUGGGCUCUACAACUGCCUUCCAGUCUGGUGCGUUUAUUUCCCAAUACUACCUCUGACCUGCACCACCUGUUGACUGGUUAGCACCUUUAUGGUACGGUGUCCACUAAGAUACAUCUGCAUUGCUCAGGUUCCCAGUGGUCACAAGACUUUACCAAAGUGUCAAAGUACUUUAGGUUCUUCAAAUAAUUGAAGCGAUCUAGGAUAUCUGUAGUUCAAUUCCCAGUUUCUGUAAAUUUUGGUAUAGUCAUGUUGCCUGGCAUGAAAUUGAAAUAAAAUACAGCAUGAACACUUGACUGUGUUGGUUUGGGAUCAAAACACUGUAUACUACUAUAUACUAUAUAUGCGUGUUUCUAAGAAUAUGUACUACUUACUUUUUUCUUUCUUUCUUGGAUUCCUGCUAUUUUUGAGGUUCUGAAUAAUGAAUCAUAAACCCCAAAAUUCAUAUCUUAGUUUGCACUGACCAGUCAACACACAGACUCAUGAUAUGAUGGAAAGCUCCCCUAGUAAAGUAGCUAGCUAGUAGCUAACAAAUGCACUUUAGUGCAUGUCAUCUACAUAGCUACAGGUAUUAAACUCAAACAGCUAGAAGCAACACAACUUUUGCUCCUCUAUUUAUCAGACCAGGAUUAGGCUAUUCGAUGAAGCCUAACUUGCAUCUGCAGUGCUUGAGCAGAUAAAUUGCCUUUAGGGGGCCACAAAGCUUCACCCUGUUUCGAAAGAUUUGGGUAGCAGGAGGAGUAGAGUAGUGUCACGUGCCAGAAACAUGAGAGUUGGCAAGAGUUGUCUCCAUCUUCGUUGAUCCUAGUACAGCUUACGGUUCUCAUCUUUCAGCUGCCCUUUUAUAGAUUAAGUAUAGCACUAGCCUAGCUGAAAAACUAGCUGCAUGGACUCCGAGGAUAGUAUGAAGUGACAGAUUUUAUUGGCCUGAAGAAGAAUAAGUAGUCACUGUUGUCUUGAGCCUUUUUCUUUCUCAAUUAUAAAAAAAACAUUUUCUGGGAUAUGCUUGAAUCAUACUUUUAACCACCAUUCUACC
rnacentral:lncRNA from 1 species